UACGAAGGGGGCUAGCGUUGUUCGGAAUCACUGGGCGUAAAGCGCACGUAGGCGGAUCGAUAAGUCAGGGGUGAAAUCCCGAGGCUCAACCUCGGAACUGCCUUUGAUACUGUCGAUCUUGAGUCCGGGAGAGGUGAGUGGAACUCCGAGUGUAGAGGUGAAAUUCGUAGAUAUUCGGAAGAACACCAGUGGCGAAGGCGGCUCACUGGCCCGGUACUGACGCUGAGGUGCGAAAGCGUGGGGAG
rnacentral:rRNA from 1 species